CAGUAGCCGCGGGAAAACGUAGGGUGCGAGCGUUAAUCGGAAUUACUGGGCGUAAAGCGUGCGCAGGCGGUUUUGUAAGACAGGCGUGAAAUCCCCGGGCUCAACCUGGGAAUGGCGCUUGUGACUGCAAAGCUAGAGUGCGGCAGAGGGGGAUGGAAUUCCGCGUGUAGCAGUGAAAUGCGUAGAUAUGCGGAGGAACACCGAUGGCGAAGGCAAUCCCCUGGGCCUGCACUGACGCUCAUGCACGAAAGCGUGGGGAGCAAACAGGAUUAGAUACCCCUGUAGUCCCUGUCUCUUAUAC
rnacentral:rRNA from 1 species